rnacentral:lncRNA from 1 species
UUUUUUUUUUUUUUUUUUUUGAGACGGAGUCUUGCUCUGCCGCCCAGGCUGAAGUGCAGUGGCCGGAUCUCAGCUCACUGCAAGCUCCGCCUCCCGGGUUCUCGCCACUCUCCUGCCUCAGCCUCCCGAGUAGCUGGGACUACAGGCGCUGGUUCCAUAGCUGGCUAGCUGUACUACCUCGGGCAAGUUAUCACAAAGCGGGGAGAAUCCCGGCACCUAACUCGGAAUGGUCACAGGCUGAGAUGACACUACUGUGUGAAGUGCGCAGAGCAGUGUUGGGCAUAUGGUGGGCAUAUGGUCAUCGGAACUAUGUUCGUUAUUUUUAUAAGUAUCUUCAAGUGGGGAGAAUCUGCUCCACUAGGCUUCCAGGUACCUACCGUCUGAGAAGGGAAGUCAGGAAGUGCAAACCAACAUAAUUACUAUGAAAAACGUAGUUUCUAAGACCUGUAUAACUCUUCUGGUGUUAUAUUACAAGUAGCUCGCAGUUAUCUUUUGAAGGAAACUAAAAUAUUGACAAUGAAAAGGACCUGGAUCUAUUUUUAGCAUAGCAAAAGAGAGAAACCAGAGAGAAUGAAUUCUAAUACUCAAGUUUUGGGGGGGAAGAAAAGACUUUAUUCUUGGCAGGGGUUUUAGAGCUUUACCUGAAUUAUCUCAUUUAACCCUCACAAUUCUCAAAUCGUUUCAAUAUCACAUUUUACAGAUAAGAACUGAAGCUUGGCAAGAUUAAGAAGUUGCUCAACUUCACAUAGCCAGAACAUGACUCUUGGGAGUAGAGGCUAGCAAAGUGGGGUGCAAGAGGUCAUCCAAAUUUCUUGAAAUAUCUUUUUACCUUAUCAUAUGUUAGAUUGUCACUUUUUUAUCCUUUUCUUCCCAGCUUUAUUAAGGUUAUUUGACAAAAAUUAUAUAUAUUCAAGGUGUGCAAUGUGAUGAUUGGAUAUAAUUAUACAUUGUGUAAUGAUUACCAAAAUCAAAUUAAUUAAAACAUCCUUCACUAGACUUAUUUAUGUACUAGUUUGGUGGGGGGCACUUAACUUUGUCUUAG